rnacentral:rRNA from 1 species
GAUUAACGCUAGCGGCAGGCCUAAUACAUGCAAGUCGAACGGGAUUCAAAGUAGCAAUAUUUUGAUGAGAGUGGCGCACGGGUGAGUAACACGUAUGCAAUUUACCUUUAACUGGGGGAUAGCCCUCCGAAAGGAGGAUUAAUACCGCAUAAUAUAUUGAAAUGGCAUCAUUUUUAAAUUAAACCUACGGGGGUUAAAAUGAGCAUGCAUCCGAUUAGCUAGUUGGUGUGGUAACGGCUCACCAAGGCAACGAUCGGUAGGGGGUCUGAGAGGAUGAUCCCCCACACUGGGACUGAGACACGGCCCAGACUCCUACGGGAGGCAGCAGUGGGGAAUUUUGGACAAUGGGCGAAAGCCUGAUCCAGCCAUGCCGCGUGCGGGAAGAAGGCCUUCGGGUUGUAAACCGCUUUAGUCCGGGAAAAGGGGUGCGAGGAUAAUACCCUUGUGCUUUGAUGGUACUGGAAGAAUAAGCACCGGCUAACUACGUGCCAGCAGCCGCGGUAAGACGUAGCGUG